UAUAUUUACCAGAGACUACAAGGCCACCAUUGGAGGUGACUUUGAGAUUGAGAUUGAGAGCUUUGAGCUCUCAGGAGCUCCAUUCUCCCUUCAGAUCUGGGACACAGAUGGCCAGGAACAUUUAAAAUGCAUCGAUUCAGCAUUCUACAGAGGAGUUCAGGGUAAAACCGAGACAGCCAGUGAAAUACCUUUGUAGAGUAGAAUAUGGAAUCCCUGGGGGGGUUCACUGUUGCUGUUUGACAUGGCAGACAUUAAGACCCUGCAAGGCAAUGGUUAGAGGAGACCAUGAGGGAGAAUGAACCUGGUCGGAACCAAGAGUGACCUACUUAUUAUUUUGGCCAACAGAAAUUAAUGGUAAGUAAUGUAUUGUAGAAUUUUGGAGUCACUUUUAUUGUAAAUAAGAAUAGAAUAUGUUUCUAAACACUUAUACAUCAAUGUGGAUCCUACCAUGAUUACAGAUACCGUACAAUUAUAGGACACAGGGGAUACACACGUCAGAGAAGAUUGGAAGAGGAGAGGGAGAUGGGAAGAAAAAUGAAAGUGGAUUUCAAAAGUGGAAAGAACUGUGACUGACACGAGCCUCCAUAUCUGUCUUAACUGGUAUCAUUCGUACGUGCCUCACUGUCUAGAAUGGACACACAAGAGUCUACAGCCUUUAUAAUCAUAAUUUAGUACUGCCAUUUUGGGAUGUAAUGUAUCAACAUGCUUGAUUUUAAUAUGGUAAUCAAUUACCUUUAUUUAAUGCAUUGUAUUUGAUGAAUUCACAGUAUUUUGUCUAAUUUUCAGACUAUUUUGUAUUUGAAGUGGUUUGACGGUUGUUUUAUGUAAUAGAUUAUCAUGUAUUGUAAUGUGUAGCCCUAACAUUCUGCAGCUGAAAAUGUGACAUUUAUUGUGUAUUUGUGUUAUUACUCCUAACCUCGUCCCUAUGCUGAAUUGCUACUGCUCAGAGAUAGAGCCGGCUGCUGGGCAAGAUUACUUAUCAAAAUAAAGCUUUCUAUUUUUGUACCGGUUUCCAUAGUGUGACAUUUACAUAUCUCAGUUCCUUUCACUUGGAUGGCUCUUACUUUAUAAAAUGCUACAGUGCUUUUUACAAAAGACAAUCACCUCAAUGGAAAACGGGUUCAAUAUACUGCUUGGACCACCAUAAACAUCUCUCCAAACACAGAAUAAACUGCAAACAAAAAAAUAUAUUACUGCAGUGGAAUAACUUUCUAUAAAUAUUCGGUCAAAUUUGAAUGAACAAAUACCGAUACAGAGAAACAAGCAUAACUUCUGAGCAGAUUUGACCCAAAACAAUUGCUCAAGACAGCAUGGUCCCCAAAAUGGUCACCUUCUAACAGAAUACACACCAAUGAUUUGUUUUGAAGCCACAGUGCCUCCAUCUUGGCACUCCCGCACCAUUGUAAAAAAUAUUUUGGAAGCUGAGUGUGAGGCUAUAAAAAUGCAUUUCUUAAUUACUGUCUCGGUUUGUUUUUGACAUGUUUAUUCUAUUACAGACCCUGUAAUGCAUACUUUUAAAUUA